GCCGAUGUCUGAUUAGCUAGUUGGUGAGGUAAAGGCUUACCAAGGCUUCGAUCAGUAGCUGGUCUGAGAGGACGACCAGCCACACUGGGACUGAGACACGGCCCAGACUCCUACGGGAGGCAGCAGUGGGGAAUUUUGGACAAUGGGGGAAACCCUGAUCCAGCCAUGCCGCGUGAGUGAAGAAGGCCUUCGGGUUGUAAAGCUCUUUCAGCCGGAACGAAAAGGUCACGGCUAAUACCUGUGACAAAUGACGGUACCGGAAGAAGA
rnacentral:rRNA from 2 species